rnacentral:tRNA from 1 species
ACCUCCGUGGCCGAGUGGUUAAGGUUUCCGCAUUUGAAAAUUUUGGGAAGGUUCGAUUCCGCUCGGGGAUU